GUUCCUUUGUGCUCAGACACAGGGCAUAUUCUUGUGUCCCCUUCUCCUUCCCAAGUUACUUUGAGCUUUUGCUUUCCCCAGGGUGGUGGGAUGCUUAGGUAUCUGUUAUCUGAAAGAUUAAAACCCACCAGGUGGAAAAUUGCAGGAGGAGUGCCAAGCCAAAGGAUUCCCUCCCUCCACAGCAGGAAGACAGUCCUUUGAGUCAGUGCCAGGGACUCCCGGAUGCCUCUGCUGGCAAGACCUGCUGUGGCAGAUGGAAUUUAUGGACUUCAGUGCCCUGAAUGGGAAUAGCUAGACAAAGAAGAAAGAAAUCCAGACUUGGGCCCACAUGCUCAUCUACUAACAGUUUGCAUGCUUGGAUGAAGGGCUGUGUUGGUGAGGUCCACAUGUCAGGGAAUUAAGAGCAACCUCUGAUCAACAACCAGUAAGGAACUGAGGACCUCAAUAUGACAGCCCUUGAGGAACUGAAUUCUGCCAACAACCAGAGCCAGCUUGGAAGCAGUCCUUCCCCAGCUGAGCUUUCAGAUGAGAACUCAGCUCCAGCUGACAACUUGAUUGCAGCCUUGAGAGAGACCCUGAGGCAUGAGGACCUGCUAAAGCAUGCCUGGAUUCCUGGCCCAUAGAAACUGUGUGA
rnacentral:lncRNA from 1 species